CAAGACCUUGCGCUUUUGGAGCGGCCGAUGCCUGAUUAGCUAGUUGGUUAGGUAAAGGCUUACUAAUGCAUCGAUCAGUAGCUGGGCUGAGAGCACGACCAUCCACACUAGGACUGAGACACGGCCCAGACUCCUACGGGAGGCAGCAGUGGGGAAUUUUGGACAAUGGGGGAAACCCUGAUCCAGCCAUGCCGCGUGAGUGAAGAAGGCCUUCGGGUUGUAAAGCUCUUUCAGCCGGAACGAAACGGUCACGGUUAAUACCCGUGACAACUGACGGUACCGGAAGACGAAGCACCGGCUAACUACGUGCCAGCAGCCGCGGUAAUACGUAGGGUGCAAGCGUUAAUCGGAAUUACUGGGCGUAAAGCGUGCGCAGGCGGUUUUGUAAGUCAGAUGUGAAAUCCCCGGGCUUAACCUGGGAACU
rnacentral:rRNA from 1 species